GUUACAAGGUAUCUUAUCCUGAAUACAUAGGGGUAAGAAGCGAACGCGGGGAACUGAAACAUCUAAGUACCCGUAGGAAAAGAAAUCAAACGAGAUUCCCCCAGUAGCGGCGAGCGAACGGGGAUUAGCCCUUAAGUUACAGUGGAUUUAGCAGAACGCUCUGGAAAGUGCGGCGAUAGAGGGUGAUAGCCCCGUAUGCGAAAGGUCCAUUGUAGUGAAAUCGAGUAGGUCGGGACACGUGAAAUCUUGACUGAAUAUGGGGGGACCAUCCUCCAAGGCUAAAUACUCCUAGCUGACCGAUAGUGAACUAGUACCGUGAGGGAAAGGCGAAAAGAACCCCGGUGAGGGGAGUGAAAUAGACCCUGAAACCGCGUACGUACAAGCAGUCGGAGCCUUCUUCGGAGGGUGACGGCGUACCUUUUGUAUAAUGGGUCAGCGACUUAGUCUGGCGAGCAAGCUUAAGCCGAUAGGUGGAGGCGUAGCGAAAGCGAGUCUGAACAGGGCGUUCAGUUCGUCGGAUUAGACCCGAAACCGAGUGAUCUAGCCAUGAGCAGGUUGAAG
rnacentral:rRNA from 1 species